rnacentral:lncRNA from 1 species
AUGUGUUCCAGCCUUACUGGGUUAAUAACCUGCUCUGCAGGCAGCCUCUUUGAUCCUUUCAAAGCUGAUCCUGAAGCAAGGCACGACCUGCUGCGAGGGAAGUGGUACCUGGGGUUUGAGAAGCAGGCAUGGUUCAGGCUGAAGGCUGAAAGAUUCCAGUCAGAGGCCACUGAGACACCGGGAAACCACCAGCUUCAGUUCUUCCAAUUUUCCAAUUUUAAUCUUUUGAUCAGAAAAAAAAGCAAACAAAAAAAAAAAACCAACCUAAAAAAAACUAAAAAAGGAAAAAAAACCCCAAAAAUCGAAAUCCCAAACUCCACUACAAAACAACAACAAAAACCCAAACAAACAAACAAACCCCCCAAAACCAAAACUCAAUAAAAAACAACCAACAAAAACUACCAAAAAACAUGUUAAAAAAAUUAGCUCUGUUCACAAUGGUAUUUUAAAGUUGGUGGCAUGUUAUUUAGUGCAUGCUUGUAGUUUCUUGAGAAAAUUCUGCUAGCAGAGGAGUCCUUAUGCUUCAGGGAAAGGCAAAGAAACCACAAAGGAUGCCCUUAAUUGAGAGAGCAGCAUGGGUACAAUUUAUUAUAAUAGUGGAUAGGAAAUGAAAUAGCAAAAUCUAUGAAAAAAAGCCCAAACUAAGGAGAAAUGGCUCUUGUUUGUUUGUUUGUUUUUUUAAAUCUGAUGUUUGAAUAAAAAGCAGAA